UACGGGGGGGGCAAGCGUUGUUCGGAAUUACUGGGCGUAAAGGGCUCGUAGGCGGCCAACUAAGUCCGACGUGAAAUCCCAAGGCUUAACCUUGGAACUGCGUCGGAUACUGGAUGGCUUGAAUUCGGGAGAGGGAUGCAGAAUUCCAGGUGUAGCGGUGAAAUGCGCAGAUAUCAGGAGGAACACCAAUGGCGAAGGCAGCUCGCUGGGACGUUACUGACGCUGAGACGCGAAAGCGUGGGGAGCAAACAGG
rnacentral:rRNA from 1 species